rnacentral:misc_RNA from 1 species
UCCUGGUUAACCCAGGCAGUCUCAUUAGAGUUCCCACCUUAAAUGUUGGCAACUAAUGAUAAGGGUUGCGCUCGUUGCUGGACUUAACCAAACACCUCACGGCACGAGCUGACGACAGCCAUGCAGCACCUAUAUAGCAGUCCUUUCGGAAAGCGACAUCUCUGCCGCGGUCCACUACAUUUCGAGCCUGGGUAAGGUUCUUCGCGUAGCAUCGAAUUAAACCACAUGCUCCACUGCUUGUGCGGGCCCCCGUCAAUUCUUUUGAGUUUCACCCUUGCGAGCGUACUCCUCAGGCGGUAUACUUAACGCGUUAGCUCCGACACAACUGGGGUUGAGACCAGUUACAUCAAGUAUACAUCGUUUACGGCAAGGACUAC